CCUACGGGGGGCUGCAGUGGGGAAUAUUGGACAAUGGGGGGAACCCUGAUCCAGCCAUGCCGCGUGUGUGAAGAAGGCCCUCGGGUUGUAAAGCACUUUCAGUGAGGAAGAACGCCUGGUGGUUAAUACCCAUCAGGAAAGACAUCACUCACAGAAGAAGCACCGGCUAACUCCGUGCCAGCAGCCGCGGUAAUACGGAGGGUGCGAGCGUUAAUCGGAAUUACUGGGCGUAAAGCGCGCGUAGGUGGCUUGAUAAGCCGGUUGUGAAAGCCCCGGGCUCAACCUGGGAACGGCAUCCGGAACUGUCAAGCUAGAGUGCAGGAGAGGAAGGUAGAAUUCCCGGUGUAGCGGUGAAAUGCGUAGAGAUCGGGAGGAAUACCAGUGGCGAAGGCGGCCUUCUGGACUGACACUGACACUGAGGUGCGAAAGCGUGGGUAGCAAACAGGAUCAGAUACCCUAGUAGUC
rnacentral:rRNA from 1 species